rnacentral:rRNA from 1 species
UACGUAGGGUGCAAGCGUUGUCCGGAAUUAUUGGGCGUAAAGAGCUCGUAGGCGGUUUGUCGCGUCGGCUGUGAAAACUCGGGGCUCAACUCCGAGCUUGCAGUCGAUACGGGCAGGCUAGAGUUCGGCAGGGGGAGACUGGAAUUCCUGGUGUAGCGGUGAAAUGCGCAGAUAUCAGGAGGAACACCGGUGGCGAAGGCGGGUCUCUGGGCCGUUACUGACGCUGAGGAGCGAAAGCGUGGGGGAGCGAACAGG